rnacentral:sRNA from 1 species
GCCGGGCGCGGUGGCGCAGGCCUGUAAUCUCAGCAGCUCAGGAGGCUGAGGCAGGAGGCUCUUGAGUUCAAAGCCAGCCACAGCAAAAGCAAGGUGCUAAGCAACUCAGUGAGAGCCUGUCUCUA